UACGAAGGGGGCUAGCGUUGUUCGGAAUUACUGGGCGUAAAGGGCGCGUAGGCGGCCUUCUAAGUCGAACGUGAAAUCCCUGGGCUCAACCCAGGAACUGCGUCCGAUACUGGAGGGCUUGAAUCCGGGAGAGGGAUGCGGAAUUCCCGGUGUAGCGGUGAAAUGCGCAGAGAUCGGGAGGAACACCCGUAGCGAAGGCGGCACUCUGGGCCGGUACUGACGCUGAGGAGCGAAAGCGUGGGGAGCAAACAGG
rnacentral:rRNA from 1 species